CCUACGGGAGGCAGCAGUAGGGAAUCUUCCACAAUGGGCGAAAGCCUGAUGGAGCAACGCCGCGUGGGUGAAGAAGGUCUUCGGAUCGUAAAACCCUGUUGUUAGAGAAGAAAGUGCGUGAGAGUAACUGUUCACGUUUCGACGGUAUCUAAACAGAAAGCCACGGCUAACUACGUCCCAGCAGCCGCUGUAAUACGUAGGUGGCAAGCGUUAUCCGGAUUUAUUGGGCGUAAAGGGAACGCAGGCGGUCUUUUAAGUCUGAUGUGAAAGCCUUCGGCUUAACCGGAGUAGUGCAUUGGAUACUGGGAGACUUGAGUGCAGAAGAGGAGAGUGGAACUCCAUGUGUAGCGGUGAAAUGCGUAGAUAUAUGGAAGAACACCAGUGGCGAAAGCGGCUCUCUGGUCUGUAACUGACGCUGAGGUUCGAAAGCGUGGGUAGCAAACAGGAUUAGAUACCCUUGUAGUC
rnacentral:rRNA from 1 species